CAGAAACUUGUCUUGCAGAUGGAAACCAAAUGCUUAUCGCAACAGGAGUAGGCAUACAAGUUAAACCCAUUUGUUCCACUUUUGCUCGACUGAAAGACAAGAACGACCACAUCAUAAAUGAUUGGUACUAAUAAGGCUGGUUUUGAACUCUACAAGAGAUUCCUGCUACAUACCCAUCAAGAACAUCUUGUCGUUGCAUCGUGGUGAGCAAACCAUGGGUGCGCAUCAUCAAAGAGCGGUGCCCUUGAUAUUCACCUUCAGCCUUUCGGAGAACACUUGUUGAUUCAUCUGCAUAAAAAGAAAUUAAGAUUAGCAAGCAGCUUGGCCUUGAUAGGUCUGGAAAUGCGUUCGUACCACAGACAAAGAGUAUGUAGUUCUUAUUCAUAUGGAAAACUUGAAGCACAUGAGGCUCUGCAGCGGAUUUCAUCCCAGCCUUUCUCCUAGAGCAUUUAGCAGGUUCGUUUUCAUUGUAAACAUAAAUUAUAGAAUGAAAUAACAAAUAUAGCCGGCGAUUCUUAAUUAGUGCAAUGCGAUUUCAUUUGGUCAUAUGAAAGAGUUAUAUCACCACAAUGAUUUCUAAUUUCGUGACCACAUUUCAUAGUUCAAGGGAAGUUAUCUUUUUCCCUGUUCUCUCCAUAUCAGUGGUGAACAUCACCAUGCCUGUCACCCAUUGGGACAUAACCCUCCAUCACUGCACACAUCCCCAGUGAGUACCACACUGUCUGCAUAUAGAAAGGAGGUGAGACCAUGAUUGAUAAACUAUGCGUGAGAAAUCUAUAUUUGCCUUCCAGUUUAUAGAAGAAUAAGAAAGAGAACUUAGACAGACUUUUAAGCAAUGCUCAUUUAACCUGUGAAGGACAAAAAUAUUCCACCAUCUCUGAAUGAUGAACUAAACUAAAUAAGAGAUAUAUACGGUAAAUUCACUCAAAGUAGAAAAGGGAUCUUCACAUAAGCUUCUUGCUGAGGACAUUUCUUGACUGGAAGGUCACACUUGAACCCAUUACACUUAUAAAACCCAGCCCUGUUGGCAUUUCAAUUGCAAAUUAAUCAUCAAUAAUGCAAAAUAAUUUAUGACCAAAAAAUGAUUUGGAGAAAAAUAUUAAUAAUGCAAAUAAAUACACACACGUAGAAAGAUGCAUCGCAAUAGUCGUAUUACCUGAAUUUCUAACCUGACCAGCAAAAUCAGAUCUUUAACCAUAGUUGGUGCUUAACCUUCUUGCUGCUGCUAAUGAUUUUGGCCAUGAAGGCAUCGGAGUAAGGGGAGGAAGAACGGACGGCGCCUGCCGGAAGUUGCCGAUUGGUGUUGACGGCCUGGCAAAGCCAUCUCCCUCCUCCAUGAUAGGUGGCAGUCGGCGGAGAGGUAUAAAUAUGACCAGAUGUAAAAACAAGCUCGAGCAAACUAA
rnacentral:lncRNA from 1 species